rnacentral:rRNA from 1 species
AACGUAGGGGUCGAGCGUUAUCCGGAAUUACUGGGCGUAAAGCGCGUGCAGGCGGCGAUGCAAGUUGGACGUGAAAGCUCCUGGCUCAACUGGGAGAGGCCGUUCAAAACUGCAUGGCUUGAGGAUGGUAGAGGCGAGUGGAAUUCCCGGUGUAGUGGUGAAAUGCGUAGAUAUCGGGAGGAACACCAGAGGCGAAGGCGGCUCGCUGGGCCAUGUCUGACGCUGAGACGCGAAAGCCAGGGGAGAGAACGGGAUUAGAAACC